rnacentral:tRNA from 1 species
GGCCUUGUAGUCCAGUGGUUCAAAGACAUAUCCUUGACUUGGAUAGGACCCCAGUUCGAUUCUGGGCAGGGCCA